rnacentral:rRNA from 1 species
GACGAACGCUGGCGGCGUGCUUAACACAUGCAAGUCGAACGGAAAGGCCCUGCUUUUGUGGGGUGCUCGAGUGGCGAACGGGUGAGUAACACGUGAGUAACCUGCCCUUGACUUUGGGAUAACUUCAGGAAACUGGGGCUAAUACCGGAUAGGAGCUCCUGCUGCAUGGUGGGGGUUGGAAAGUUUCGGCGGUUGGGGAUGGACUCGCGGCUUAUCAGCUUGUUGGUGGGGUAGUGGCUUACCAAGGCUUUGACGGGUAGCCGGCCUGAGAGGGUGACCGGCCACAUUGGGACUGAGAUACGGCCCAGACUCCUACGGGAGGCAGCAGUGGGGAAUAUUGCACAAUGGGCGGAAACCUGAUGCAGCAACGCCGCGUGCGGGAUGACAGCCUUCGGGUUGUAAACCGCUUUCGCCUGUGACGAAGCGUGAGUGACGGUAAUGGGUAAAGAAGCACCGGCUAACUACGUG